UAAACCUUUUGUCUAGCCAAACAGAAGGGUAAAGUAAGUCUCCAUAAAAUUCAGAGAGGAGACUGAAAAAAUUCCUCCUUAGAGCCUGUCUGGAGUCACAGGC
rnacentral:snoRNA from 1 species